rnacentral:lncRNA from 1 species
UGUACAAUCAAAAGAACUGACGAUUUCUGUAUGCAAAAGGUUCGUUGCUUUUAUAAACUCUAUGUUCAUGCUAACCAGUCUGAAACUCUUGGGUGUUUUUGUACUUAAAUUGACAAGCUUUGCAUGAAACGUUCGGAAACUCCUUACUUAAAGAUACUUAUACAAUUGUUUAUAUUUCUUAUUUUAUUUACAUUUGGGGUUACAUUGUACCAAAGUAAUAUUGACGUUUCUGCAAUAGACAUUGAAUGUGACUUUAUAUCCGUACUUUUUCAUAGGUGUUAGUAAUACUUUUAUAAAUCUUUUGUACGUUAUGCUUUUCUAAUCAUUUAACUGUUAAUUUAGGUUUUAUUGUUUGCCAUACCAAUAUAUAUUCAUUCAUAUCUAUACAAAGAGGGGAGACUAGCUAAAACAGAGUUUUCUCUUUUUUUUAUCGUUAUGUCAAGGCAUCGUAGACUUUUUCGUUUUUCACUUAUUUUCAUCCAGAUACAUGUACUUAAUCUUGAUUAUAAUUAUUUAGAUGCAGAUUAUUUUUCCAUUACUUGUGAUAUGUUGCUGUUUAUUGGUUGUGAAAUCUGAAACAUGUCUAGGGAGCCAAGAAAAGGCAAUUUUAUCUCGUAUUAAAACCUCCAUAAAGUCAUUGGAAGAAAAGUUGGAAGGUAGGAUACCAUUUCGUUUAUAAUAUACAGCUUACUAGGCGACAGGACUUAAAAAGCCUUUUUUCUAUCACUUUUUUAUAUAAAUCAGGCCGUUAGUUUUCUCGUUUGAAUUAUUUUAUACUGUCAUAUCGGGACCUUUUAUAGCUGACUAUGGGCUUUGUUCAUUGUUGAAGGCCGUACGGUGACCUAUAGUUGUUUAUGUCUGUUCAUUUUGGUCUCUUGUGGACAGUUGCCUCAUUGGCAAUCAUACCACAUCUUCUUUUUUAUAUUAGACUCAGAGCAAUUACACUCUGAAUAAUAUGCUGACAUUCAUAUGUCUUCUGGUUUAUUGUGUCGUCGGGUAACUGUCUCUGUGGCUAGUAUUCAGCAUCUCCUUAUAUUCAUCCUUAUAUUUCAAUGAUUGUCCUGACUAUUAUGUACACCAUAUCAAUCUGAUUGAUUGAUUGAUGGUUGGUUGCCUUACGUCCAGUGACAAAUAUUUCAUGCAUGUUCAGAACGAUACCGUAUCGAUAAAACUAAGCGGAUAGAUAAAAGCUGCAGUGACACCAACUAUAAUAUGUUUUGCAUUAGUUGAUAUUUUAGCAAAAGGGUAUAUCUUUUAAAAGGUGCAAAUUUUGAAACGAAACUCAAACAUCUAUCAAAUGAAUAGACAUUCAAUUUUCGUACAUUUAAAAUCCAAGAUAGAGUUUUUUGUCGACGCUAUCCGUUUUAUAUACAUUUGUACAAUUUCAGACUGAAUUGGUUUAAAAAGAUAUAGCCAAAAAAAUGCAUGAACAUUUAUUUAAAAGUUUUUUUUUUCAAUAUGCAUCAAUCUCAAACUUAAACUCAUAAAUUCAUAAAUAAAUAAUAAUAAAUCAUCUAUAACAAAAUACUAAAUAGAUCCUAAUUUUAUUUUUUUUUUCAAUUAUUCGUAGGAAAAUCUCCGCGAUGUAGAGCAGGAUGGAGAGAAUUCAAAGACCGCUGUUAUUUCUUUUCCACUGACAAAAAACCCUGGCAUGAGGCGGAGGUACGUGCUAAAUACUUUAUUUUUAAGAAAGUAGAAACAACUAGAAUGGCAUGUAUAUCAAAAUAUAUUUUAGUAAUAACGUGCAUAUUGACUCAUUCUUAUCCUUUGGUGAAUUAUUGCCUCAUUGGCUAUCAAAUCACAUUCCAUAUUGAAUGUCGGUGUCUAAGUGGUCUAAGUAAAUAACAACUGUAUCACUAGCCUGUCAACACUGAAUAAAGUGAAGACUUUAAUCUUAUUUGAUUAGGAUUGUCAGUUUUCCUGUCGAAUCGUGUUUGUUGUUCUGCUCUCUAUAAACAUGCCACUUAAGCAUAUUCGAAAAAAGUAAAUCCCACAUGACAAGAACAUUUUUUCGUGCGUGAGGCUAUCAUUUUUGCUAAACAAUACAUUACUUCGACAACUUUUUACGAUUAACGAAUUAUAUGUAACAUGUUCUUGGAUUAAUUUGCACUUCUCAUAAGUGCAAAUUGGAACCACACUUUUUUUUGUCGUAGAAUCAUCAAAUUUGGCAAUAAUGUACCUCUGGGGAUAAAUAACACAAUACAAAAAUAAAUUUGAUAUGGCUCGCCCGGUUCGGCAACUGGAGCGAAAACAGUGACAAAAUCCUGUAGGAUAUUUUUUUCUCCCAUAGGAUUUUUAAAAAUCCUACAGGAUUUUGAGAAAUCCUAUAGGAUAAAGUCAUAAUCCCGUAGGAUAUUUUAAAUAUCCUAUGGGAUAUAUAAAUCCUAUCGGAUUUAUUUAUCCUAUAGGAAAAUUUAUCUCCUAUGGGAUUAAAUUAAUAUCCUAUGGGAUUUAAAAUCCUGUAGGAUUUUCAAAAAAAGUGUUAAAUCCGAUAGGAUUUUUUUUAUCCUAUAGGAUUAUCAUGAAAGACUUUUUGACAGAAACUAAUGUCCCUUAGGAUAUUUUUUUCUCCUAAGGGAUUUAUUUUGUCCUGUGGGAUGUUUUUUCUCCCAUGGGAUAUUUUUUACUCCUACCGGAUUUUUUUUUCUCGCCCUUAGGAUAAAUUUUGUCCUGUAAGAUAUUUUGUUUUCCCUUAGGAUAUACUUUGUCCUAUAGGAUUAUUUUUUCUCCCAUAGGAUUAAAUUUUGAUACGUUUUGUCAUCUAAGAUGGAUUCGUCAGUUUUGUUGGUAUCUUACAAACGUUAACAAUUGUUGCUACAUAGAUAUUGAUCACUACGUAGCUACUACGAUAUUGAACUCAACCUUUGUAUUUAGCCUAGCUGCUACAUAGAUAUUGAUACCAGGGAUCAGUUCAAUAUCGUAGCAGCUACGUAGCGACUAUGUAGCUGCUAUCAAAAUCUAAGUAAUAACUAGUCUAUAGCUACACGUUCAAUAGUCAAUAUCUACGUAGCACUACGUAGCUGCUACGAUAUUGAACGCGUCCCAGGGUUGGGUUCAAUAUCGUAGCAGCUACGUAGCGGCUACGUAGCGGCUACGUAGCUGCUAUCAAUAUUUAUGUAACAACUAGUCUAUAGCUACACAUUCAAUAGUCAAAAUCUACGUAGCACUUCGUAGCUGCUACGAUAUUGAACUCGACCCAUCUACGUAACCGCUACGAUAUUGAACACGACCUUGGGUUGUGUUCAAUAUCUUAUCGGCUAUAUAGGGCUAUGUAGAUUUAUGACUUUUGAACGGGUGGCUAGCCUAGCUGCUACAUAGAUAUUAAUAGCAGCUAAGCUAGCUUCUCGUUCAAUAGUCAUAAAUUUACGUCGCACUACGUAGCUGCUACGAUAUUGAACGCAACCCUGAAAAGGGUCGUUAUAGUUUCAAUAAUUAUCGAAACGGAUACAUGGAAAUAUUACUUUAUAGGAUUGUGCAAAUCUUGCCUUCGUAUAUGGUUUUCAUGAUAUUAAUUAUUAAUGAGUCUGUUUAAUAAAUGUUGUUUGUUUUACGUCCUGUGGCAAAUAUUACAUGUAUGUUCAUAACGAGAACACAAUAGGUAGGCUUUUCAUAGCAAAUAUAAAAGGUCGACUGAGAGAAUGGACAUGGAACUUGGAAUGGUAAUGCAAAAUGAGGAUAUAUUGAAUAAAAAACAGAGCUGCCUCAAUUAAUUGUGCAAGAGUACCAAAUGUGCAGAAGUCUUCCGUGCAUGAAAUCUAUGCUUAAAUCGACCAUCGUUUUUCAAGUACAGUUUUUAAUAAUAUCAACUGGUUAAAUGCAUUUUGAUGGCUUAAAUAAAAGGGAGAGUUCUUUUAGAUUGGAUUAUUUAUAGCACUUUAGUUUUUUUGGUAUGAUACUAUAUUUCAGAUUUCUCUUGGUUAUGUUUUUGCACUUAGUGCGGGAAAUCGUGGGUUCAAAUCCCGGCCUGGUCAAUCCAAAUACGUCAACAUUUAAAAUUGCUGUUCCUCCGCUAAGCAAGUGGAAUUAAUAAUUUAAUUACACCUCUCCUCCAUUACAUGAUAUAUCUGUAAAAAAAAGACUGGUAUGCUCGAGUGGCUAAAUGAUGUCCAAAUGCGGAGUGUUACCUUGUGAACUAGCACGUUAAAAAUCUUUCUCGACACUAUCAGUCUAGAACAGGGUUCAUAUUCAGUAUAACAUUUGGAACUUGAAUUUGUCUCUGGACAGGUCUGGAUAUAAGGCAUAUUCAACGUUCAUUAUAUAUCUACUAAAUCGUUAAUAAAUAGAGAAGUAUUUUCCUUGUACUGAUUUUUAUUUCAUGUACUUGGUUUGAUUUCCACGAAUUGAUAUUAUAAAAAUGGUAUGGUUAAACUUUUCACAAAAUAUGUAUGUGCCUUUUGUGAUAUUUUUAAUGGCAGGUAAUAUGAAAUUAGCUCCUUACUUUAUUUAUACAUGGAACGUUUUUGUUUGGCUUGAUAAGGUGUAUAGGGAUCUCUCUAUAAUAAAAAAAAAACCAAAAGACUGUAAAAAAAACUUUCAAUAUCUUGAUUGUCUGUGUUGUUGGGUUGUUGUCUCAUCAAUAUUUACUCUUAAUCCCUUUUUUCGAACCCAAAGGGUAGACUUGAGCACAGAAAUAUUGUCCACUCUUGACUUCAUCAGCUCGACUUUCGACUUAACCUUGCUGAAAAAGUAAAGCCCCCCCCCCCUAUUCCUACCAACGUGAAAAUUAGUUAACAGACUAAGAUGGCCACUACGAUGCUUUAUGCUGUUGUUUUUUAAUCGCUGCCUAUUGCAGCUAUCAUUCCCGGUUUUGGACAGAAUAAAAAGUAGAUGUGGUUCGAUUGUGAAUGAGACAACUUCAAACUAUUGCUUUCCACCAAGGUCCACAUGAAGCUGAUGAACGCAAAUUUAUAUAAAAAAAAAGAAGAUGUGGUAUGAUUGCCAAAGAGACGAAUGACAUAGAAAUUAACAACUAUACAUGUAGUUCACCUUACGGCUUCCCACAAUGAGCAAAGCUUUUGUAUCUAAUUUUAUUUUAUAUGAUUAAUGUAUUGCCUUGUGUCGUUUCUUUUGUUUACUAGUAUAUUGAAUGUCUCUGGUGGUAUGAAUCUUACUUCAUGAAAUUUAAAAUUAUACCCUUUUUCAAUAAUAGGCUACCGCAAUAAAGAUAUAAGCUUAAUAAAAUAAUUAUUUCAGAUUUUCACUCGUUCAGGAAAUGUCAUACGGGACAAGAAUGAGUUUUAAUGGCGAAAAAUAUUUUUUUAAACAAAUGUGCAUGUGUAAGCUGUUUUGUGAUGUUCUAUUCUAUCAGGAGUUUCAGAAAAGGGGGAAUAAAAACAAUUAUGCCAAAAAACAGUUUAACUUGCGAAGCUUUCUUUGGUAUUCAAUGUUACAAAAAUAGUUAUUCUUUUGUAGAUUUAGAACUUUGAACACAAUUAAAAAAAAUGUCUAUUGAAAUUGGUAGAUGGCAAAAUAGUUAAAGAGAACAUUUUAUUUAUUAUAUAUACUUUAUGUAAAAUUAGGUGAAAUUGAGGACGAGUUUCAUUAUAAAGUUGAAACAAAACGAAAAGUGUAUUUAACGUUUUUUGUAAAUAGCUUCUCAAAUAUUGAAUUGAUUUUAUCAAAACAAAAAGUAUAAGAUCAAAAAUUAAAUUUUCUAUCAAGAUUCUUUAUUUCUUAUAAAACCAAGUUUAAUGGUACAAGGAACGAUAUUUUUACAUAUAAUAACAUACAGAUUUUGCGCAUGACAAGUUUGCACAAAACGAGCAACAAGAAUGAGAGAUUGGGGAUCAACCUGGAGAACAUACGUCUAUAUUGAUAUUUCUAAUUAAUUUACACAAAUUUUUCAAUACACGAAUAUUUUUUGAAAUAAAUAAAGUGCCGAAUGCAUAUCUAUACCACAUCUUCCUAUAUCUCACACUCACACCACAUCUUCCUAUAUCUAUAACUUGCCUUGGGUAUACUUUUUAUGUCCCUAUUCGUACAGGAAGUCCUGUGUUGUUAUUUAGACGUACCGAUCCACAAUAUCUGACACACAUUUGCAAAACAGGUCAUUUGUAAUAUAAGCUGGAAAAAUUUCAUAGUUUUAGAAUAAAGCGGAGCAUCGCAAUUGCGUUAAAAAUUAAUAUUUAAUUUCCUACCAAAAGAUAUUGGUUUUUGUUUUCAAUUCUUUCUCAAAUUUAGAUAUAGAGUUGACACUGCAAUGUUUUGUAUCAGGUUUAUUCCACUCAGGAACUAUAGAAGGAAUAAACGAUUCAGGGAAAGCCUGCAAAAUGGAACCACAAUUCAAAAUUUUUGUGUUUACUUUGCCUUUGUUUUUUUAUUUUGUUUCUAAGGAAAUUGCUAUGUAAGCUUCUUUGUUUAUUUAAAGAAGCCAAUUUUGAGAUACAAAGUGAGAAACAAAGCUUUUGCGAUUUCAUUUCCUUAUUUACAACACUAGAGUUUACAGACUAUCAUUAUACCUUGAGAGACAUAUGAGAGUAUGUGGCGUCCGUGGGGUUCUUCAAAUUCGAUUACAGAAGUAAUAUAGAAAAACUCCAAGGGGUAAAUACUAUAUUACGUUUUUAAAAGAGAAUAUAAAUCAUAACUGUCUUCUAUGAACGAUAACUUUAAAACUGAUGUCAAUGCUUUUUUUUUUAACAAUUCAUCUUUAUUCAACAAUUGAAGAUGAAUACCAUUUUAUUGUAUAAUGUAAUAAGCAGUGAUGUAAGAAAUAUAAUUCACAAUGUGCAUGGGAGAACUAAAUAAUUUAGUUAACUUAAUCAUAUGACUCUAAAGCCCGUUCUGUCAUUAUUAAGAGACGCUAAAGAACUGGACAACUGUGGAAAUAUAAGAUUUUAAGAUUUGGAAAUAAAUGAAAUUGGUGUCACAAAUGGUAUGUCUGCUUGUAUUUGAUUUUUUUUUAUAAAAUAUAUAUGAUGCUCUUAUACACAAUUAUUAAUGGUUGUUUUACUUCGCUUAGUUAUAGCAUUUAACAAAUAACUCUUCGUAUUCUUAUUUUCGGCAUCAAAUAAAAUUUAUAAUGGAAUAUUUUUUAAAAGACAAGGAAAAUGAAAAAAAAUAUAUACAACAAAAAUAAGCAAAAGGAGAUGUGGUAUGGCUGUCAAUGAAACACCUAUCCACAAACGUUGAAAUUGAAGUAGCUGUAAGAAAUAAAUAAGUCAUAUUUACAGUCUAAAAAUGUGUUUAGCCGGGGCCUGAACAUCAAAUUACACAUAUCUAUACUUGUAAUGCAUUUGUAAACAAGUUCGUACCCUAAAUAUGUUCCUCUCCUAAACAUGUCGAGGAAAGUGUUUAACCCUAUAUGUAUUUAACCUGACCACAUGUUAAAGAUAAACAUGUUUGGUACUGCCUCUUAUAAAUAAGUGAAACAUUCUCAGUAAAUCACAUCAGAACUUAGAUCAGACUAAAACCUCACUUAAACUGAAUAUAUUUGUUUUUGUAGAACAGGAGUUUAGUAUCCCAUAAAACAUAAAUCAUUAUAUAGAGACCUAGGCAGCAAAGAUAGUCAUUAGAAUCUUUUUGCAUUUGCCUGUGUUCUAUCCUUUUAAAAACCUUGCGGUGAGGCAUGGUUUCUGACAUCAGAAAAAAAAGUGAAGUAUAGGCCACUGGACGUUAAGCAACCAAGUAUUAAACCUCACCUUUCCGUGAAGUGUUUACAAUUAUUUGUAUUUUUAAAAUAAAAAAAAAAAGGAUAAACAUUUCCAAAAACUGAAAAUAUUUGAGAAGACGCUAUUACCUUAGAAGUAAAAAAUUUACCAGACAGAAUAAACACGGCAGAAACAAACAAACGAAAAAAAACCAAGAGAACAAUUUGAAAUACCAUAUACAUGUUAAAAUCGGUAUAUACAAGCGGAUUAUAAACGGGACAGGGUUGAGCGAACAUGAAUUUCUACUGAUUACACUAAAGGUGGCAAUCAACCGAUUGAAGCACGUGUCGAGAAAAUAUUAGAUAACUUUCUAAUUAAAAAUGACAUAAUUAUAAAAUUUGAUUUUAUGAUUUUUUACAAAGUCUUUUUCUAGAUGCCAUAUCCGUUGUGAUAGUAUCUUUCCAUCAGGUCAUUAGUGUACAAUUUUGUUCUUAGUGCACUAAGGAGGUCCUUUGUAGUAUUUCUACGAAUCCCAUGAUUUACAUGUAUGCUGAGGGAAAAGUCGCACAUGUUUUUAUAAGUAGGACGAAAGUCACAAAAAUGUAAUCAAAGUGUACACGUUGGGAAAAAGUCUGUGAGAAAGGUUUAAAUAAUUUUAUUUAACAUCUUCAUAUUUUUUUCUGCGAAAUCAUAACUUUGCUAGCCGUUAAGACGGAACGAUAUUCCAUACCGCAGAUACCAUUUAAUGAUAGACUUUGUAAAUUUUGUAGUUCGAACUGUGUGGAAAACGAAAUACAUGUUUUAAUGGUCUGUCUUUUAUAUACAGACUUCCGAUAUGAACUUUUUAAAACAUCACGUGAACAUAUUAACUUUGACAGAAUGAACACAGAGAAAAGAUGUAUUGCUCAUAUGAACUGUAAAUACAAACAAAAGUUUUUAGCUCGUACAAUAAAUAGUUUUUUUAUUAGAAGAAAAAAGUUUUUAUGAAAUUAUGAUUUACAAACAAUAUAUCUUCAGUAUUAUUUUUGUCUUUCUUUGUGCAUAUUUGUUUCUUACAUAAAGGUUACUGUGAUGUGUUUCAAAUAAAAUCCCAAGUUUAUAUACCUUUAUUUUCUUUUGCAAAGAUAAUUUCAAUUGACAAUUUUAUUAUAAUAUCCAUCAUCAGAAUAUUAGCAUUUUAAUAAAGAUUUUAUUCGUUUAUUUUGUUACUUAUAUCAGGGACAUAUAAUACAUAUGUAUUAUAUGUCUCUGCUUAUAUCAAAUGUGGAUAUUAUUUUAAUUUCAUCAAAGAUUUACUAAACAAAUCCUGGAUUUCAUUGAUAAAGAUGUGUGUGUAACUAUACAAAUCCUUGUUGUAACUAAUUCAUAAUUGUAUAUAUUUUAAUUAAUUUUAUUGUAAAUUUAGUGUCUCGUAAUUUUAUGAAGGCUGGCUAUCGAUCUUUGUUUUAACUGUAAGACCAAUGUGCGACACUAUAAUGAAAUAAUCAUUAUAUUCAUCUUUUAUAUUUAAUCUCAAUUACCAGAUUAAAAUUUCACACCUAAUUGAACAUUGCAGAUGUACGCUGACCACUAUGUGUAUAUACCAAGAAACUGCUAGGUGUGAAAAUAAGAUGUGUCAAUUGUAUGAGGACCUGUACGGGGGUCCUUAAUUCUAUAAUUGUUCAGUCUUUUUCUGUGUUCUUUAUAUAUAUAAGCACUUCGUCAUUCUCUAUUCCUUAUCUUUUUCUCUAUGUUUCUGUAGUCAUUAUUUAUUUUCCUUUAUUCGGCACUUUUAACCCAUUAUUCACUAUUCAUCGACCCCAUCCUGACCCUCUUUUUUAAUGAACCGUUAGCAAAUACGUCUCGAAGGUGGCAGCAUACAUCACAGUCCACGACAUUAUAAACUAGUAAGGCACACAUACUGCUGGUGAUCAACCUUUGAUUUAUAAACUAGAAUAAAUAUACUAAAAAAAUUUUAAAGAUAAUAUAUAUUUUUUUACAAUUUCGUUCGUCCGUUUUUUAUCGACAAAUGGUUCAGUUUUUUUUUCGCAGUUUUAAGUAACGUUAUAAUAUAUAUAUUUUAUAGAAUAGCUUAAAAGCAGAUACAUAUCUUUAUUUCGUGUCAAACCAUUUCUUGGAACUUGUGAAGCUUUUUAUGAUAAAUGGAAUAUUUUUUUUCCCGAUUGACCUAUUGAUAUCCAUAAUUUGUUUUAUAAACCAAUUGAAAUACCAAACACAUGACGAAAAAACAGUCGCCGAAAAAACAUAUUCAUAGUCAAACUGUUUGUACACACGUGCGUGAUUAGCGGUCCAUGGUUGAAUGAUCAUGAAUUUCAAUCGAUUACACAGAUUGCAAUCAAUAUUGAACGUGGCAUGUGUCGAUAAAACAUUAAAUUUUGUAAUUCUUAAAGAUGUUAUUAAUAUAAAAUAUUGAAUUAUUUAUUUUGAAAUAGUUUACUUCUAUAAUUCAUUCCCUAGUGCCAAUUAUAUCAUAUCGUCUGGUCCCUUGUACUUGCAUCACUUUUUAUUAAAAUUGUCAUAAGAAUCUUUCGACAAUUUCGAUCACACAGAUGAAGCUUUAAAAAGUUGAAAAAUAUUUUCACGAGUCCAACAGUUGACGUGCUUUCUUUAUCAUGUUUAAGCAUGCGAAAAUGUAUUCUUAAAAAAUCUAAGAGACACAGAAAACGUAAUACUACUAGUAUACGAAAUCAUUCAAUUUUGCAUAAAGAUGAUAACUCUAACUUUAAAAAAAAAACGUUCAGAAAUAUGAAAAGGAAAAGAUGGACUUCUUUCUUGACCAAAAUACAAAACUAGUAAACGGUGAAUGUAUAUGUACUACUGUAGACUUUGUUAUGAUGACCUUUAACUUAAUAAAUAUUUAUUUUUUAUUAUUUCAAUCAACAGGUAUACCUUAAUUAAAUUUUUUCCGGAAUAGUAAUUUCUUUUUCUGGAAAAGUAAUACCAAUUUGCGGAAACGUAAAAACGCCGCUACUUAUUUCGGAAAAGUAAUGCACGAAAAUGCGGAAACGUGAAAUUGGACUUUUGGAAAAAAAAAUAACUACUAAAGGACAUGUUAGCGCCGACAUGAGUUGUAAGAAAAGAUUUCCAAAACAACCAUAUCAUUAAGAAGGAAUGUUUACAUGCUAUACUCUCGUACUAGUAUUACAGGGUUCUUGUGGCGUUCACCUUAGACACACAUCUUUUUAACGAUGUUUAACAAGAAAAUCCCUAUUUAGCGGACAAGCAAUUUUUUUUUUCUGUUAUUGAAUAUCGAGAAAGAAAAUAAAUCCCGAAAUUAAUUUGGAACUUUGAUACUCAAUAGUUUCCCAUCAAAAUAUUCACAAUUAGUGUUCGUCCAGUGGCAUACAUAACAAUCUUAUUUCUAUAUGCAAUCAACAAUGAGCAAAACCCUAACCUUGUAGUCAUUUAUAAAAGACCCGAAAUGAUAAAUGUAAAAACAAUUCAAACGAGAAAACUAACGGCCUGAUUUAUGUACAAAAUGUGAAAAUUCCUUGAUAACCUGAAUUUUCUUAAUUAUUUGCCUACAAUAUAUAAGUCACUGUUUAAGAAAAAUAAAAAAUAAAAUUCUGGGACUAUUAUAUUAACGUUAGUAUAAUAGUCCAAGAAUUAAAGUGUUGAUAAAAUAAGAGCCUCACAUUUGAAAGUUUUAAAACAUUUCGAAGAUAAAAAAAAAAAAAGUAAAAAAAUAUACAAAACAGACUUUUUCGUUCAUUUUGUAACAUGAAUGAGGCAGUUAGUUUUCUCGACUGAAUUGUUUUACAUUGUCAUUUCGGGGCCUUGUAAAAACAGACUAUGCGGUAUGGACUUUGCUCAUUGUUGAAGGCCGUACAGUGACCUAUAGUUGUUUAUUUUUGUGACAAUUUGGUCUCUUGUGAAAUGUGGUCUCAUUGGCAAUCAUACCACAUCUUUUUUAUAUAUUUAAAUCAUUUUACAAGACAUCAAAUUGUUAUUUUGUGUUACUGUUGCAGACAAUUCUUUUCAAAUAUUAAAAAUUAUUUUAAUUAAAUGGAAUUUUGCAUUUGCACCCGCUUGAAAAAAAUAAAAACAUAUAAAGAAGCAACAUCGAAAUUCUCUGUACUUUAAGCGGCAUUUUCACAUGAGUAAAAUAUAAGGUCAACGUUUGAAACUUUUUCAGUCUUGUUCCAUAACUUUCAGUCUUGUUCCGUCUUGUUCCGUAUUUUUCAGUCUUGUUCCGUAACUUUCUACCCAGUCGUAUAAACGAAUCGUCGACAAGUGCGUACAUUUUUUGGAACAACGUCAAAAUCGUUGUUUUAUUAGGAACGUCGUGUAACGCUAAGUGGCACCAAUACCGUGCGUAACGUCAAUAUAAAUCUGUGAUUUUACUAUGUCCACAACUUCGAUGAACCAAAGCAAGUUAAACAUCGACCUGUAUCUAAAUCAAAUUGGUUCUCUUCUUCUUCUUCGUCUUCUUCUUUUGGUAUACAAUAGUCUAUCGACAUUCGAUGAUUACAUACUGUUGGCAUACGUGGACUAGUCUAUUUACAAAACUUUUACCCCAAUUUAUUCAAAAUAUAUGUUUUUUUCUUAUGUUUAAUGUAUACAUGUAUAUAUUUUAAAUUGCGCUAUAGUUCCGUAACUUUCUACCCAGUCGUAUAGACGAAUCAUCGACAAGUGCGUACAUUUUUUUAAAUCAAUAUUUCUGGUAUGUUCCAAUCUGUCCUUCACUAUUGACAUCGAGUAUAUAUUACAUUUUCCCAAAGUCAACCUUGGAAAAAAUAUUUAAAUAGAUUGUAAUUUCAUCAAAUCUUAUUUUUUGGGUAUUAUUUAUAUUUUUAUUUUACACCAGAAAUGUUAUUUAUAAACAAGCGUAUGAGUUUAGUUAUGACAAGUAAGACAGAGUUGUAUAUUAUACAUCUGAUAGUUCAAAAUGGAAAGUUAUAAGUUAUCGGCCGUGUACACUGAAUAUUACCUGCAGAAGUGAAACGAUGCAUGAACUUGCAAGUCCGACAGGAAAUCGCUUGAAUACCUGGAAGUGUCACCUCACACCCCUUACAAUACCUUUGGAAGUAAUACCUUAAGCCAUGCUGGUGAUCAGAUGAGGGAAGAUCAGAAUUUAUUUGAAAAAAGUUUAUUACUUUAAAGAAUUAUGAACAAAUUAUAUUUUCGAAAACAAUUUUCACGGAACACUUAUACAUGAUUUCAACUUUGACUCUUUACUUAAUUCCAAUAUUAACAGUUUAAAAACAACAGACCAUGGUAAUUUAAAAAAAAUGCAAAAAUUUUCCGUAUAAAGUUAGUUAGUCGAAUAAAACAACAGUACGAUUGACAAGAUAUCGACCUGCAAUUACGACUACAUCCUUAUUCUUUCAAAAAGAGAUUCCCAGGCAACCUCAGAAUAUAAAGUUUUUGUAAAUAUGUAAAUGUUAUAUUUUUGCAUAAUUUUUUAUUGGCGUCUUGAAGUGUUGAAUCUUUUUCUAAAUACGGGUUAAUAAAUCGAACUAUAUUGGCUAUUAGUUAAAAAUAUCUAACACAACAGGGCCGCCAUGGCUAAAAAUAGAACAUAGGGGUAAAAUGGAGAUUUUCGCUUAUAACUCUGAAAGCAAAGCAUUUAAAGCAAAUCUGAGAGGUAUACAAUUGUUUAUCAAGUGAAGAUCUAUCUGCUCUGAAAUUUUCAGAUGAAUCGGACAACCGGUUGUUGGGUUGCUACCCCUGAAUUGGUAAUUUUAAAGAAAUUUUGUCGUUUUUGGCUAUUAUCUUGAAUGCUAUUAUAGAUAAAGAUAAACUGUAAACAGCAAUAAUCUUCAGCAAAGUAAGAUCUACAAAUAAGUCAAACAUGACCAAAAUGGUCAGUUGACCCCUUAAGGAAUUAUUGCCCUUUAUAGUAAAUUUUUAACAAUUUUCAUUAAUUUGGUAAAUUUUUGUAAAUUUUUACCAGAUAAUUUCCUCUGUUACUAGUGGGCAAAAUUCAUUAUAGAUAUAAUUGUAAGUAGCAAGAACGUUCAGUAAAGUAAGAACUUCAAACACAUCACCAUCACCAAAACACAAUUUUGUCAUGAAUCCAUCCAUGCCCUUUGUUCAAUAUGCAUAUAGACCAAGGUGAGCGACACAGGCUCUUUAGAACCUCUAGUUUUUUGUACAUCUAGAAUUUGUUUUUCCACACAAUUAUUUGUGUUUGUAGGUACAGUGUCGAAAUCUAGGAGGGUAUCUAACACAAGUUACUGAUUCUACUGAAAAUUCCUGGAUUGUUUCUUUGAUUACGAGUAAAAGUAAGUUUGUCAUCUGUUUUCUUUUUAAAUAGUUUAAUAAGUUAUUUACUAGUUUAUACAUGUAGAUAGGUCGUCAUCCCUCAAACAAAAAUGACUGUAGAUGAAUUUGGCUAUUUUUUAGGUACUUUUUGGUGGUAUAACUUUUCAACUGUUUGGUUCUCAUACAUCCCUGGCUUUCAAAUAUUUGACAUUGAGGUGAUGAAGGUAAAUCCAGAAAAGCGCUUCGGACGCAUGAAAUUUGAUACGGAAGUAAUUAAAAACUAAUGAGUAAUAACAUUAAUAAGAGAGGGAUAAUUUAUCGUUUGACUUUAAACUAUCAACAACAUUUAUUAUGUCUUUCCACUUUUUGCUGAUUAUUGUUAUUUUAUUUUUCUUCGGUCAUUUUUUUUACUUGUGUAGUGAUUUUUAGAAUAUAAUAUCGUACAGUUUAUACUGUCCCUCUGGUAUCUUUCGUCCCUCUUUUAUACGCUUUUGAAACUGACACUGCUUAACCAAACACUUUUCAAUGUAAGACGUAUCUUUUUUGUUCACAAACACUGUAACAGUUUCUCUUGUCCACUGCUCCUUUGCAAAUAAAAUUUAAUCUAAUUUCAUUAAAAUAAUUGUCAUUGUAAUAUCCUCGUGUAACUAUCAAUGCAUAGAACUUGCAUAUACUUUACAGAAGUGAUUCAGCAGGACUACUGGAUGGGUGCAACAGAUUUUACAGAGGGUGAUUGGAGAUGGGUGAAUGAUUUGUCUAAAGUACAUUAUACCAAUUGGAACUCAGGUCAACCUGAUAAUUAUAAUGGCAAGGAGGACUGUGGUCAUUUUUGGCAUGGACAUAACUAUAAAUGGAAUGACCAUGUGUGCAGCAAUCUAUUUGGGUAUAUUUGUGAGAGUCCUCAGGUAUUUAUUAUUAAUAACGUAUUGUAUACAAUAUUUGAUUUAACCCUUUCAUUUUAUAAAGAGAACGAUACAAAUGUAAACUUCACUAUAGCAGCAAAUCUCUAUAUCAAGAAGAAGAUGUGGUAUGAUUGACAAUGAGACAACUGUCCACAAGAGACCAAAAUGACACAGACAUUAACAACUAUAGGUCACCGUACGGACUUCAACAAUGCGCAAAGCCCAUACCGCAUAGUCAGCUAUAAAAGACCCCGAUAUGACAAUGUAAAACAAUUCAAACGAGAAAACUAACGGCCUUAUUUACGUUAAAAAAAUGAACGAAAAACAAAUAUGUAACACAUAAACAAACUACAACCAUUGAAUUACAGGCUCCUGACUUGGGACAGGCACAUACAUAAAUAAUGUGGCGGGGUUAAACAUGUUAGCGGGAUCCCAACCCUCCCCCUAAUCUGGGGACAGUGGUAUAAAAGUACAACAUAAGAACAAACUAUAAAAAUCAGUUGAAAAAGGCUCAACACAUCAGAUGGACAAAAAUACAAUUGGACGUGGCCGGGUACUUGUACAUCCCGACAACAAAAAGUACACUAGGAACAGAUCUGAGACUUCUCUGACAGCUAGUUCAAAACCACAUCCAACAUCCUAUGGAUUUAGUGUAAAGACUUCAUAAACAGUCAGAGAAAAAACAUGACCCUUUGCAACGCAGAUAUCAGAAUACAUUCCGAAUCCAUUUCAUAUGGUGUUUUUUUAAUAUGAUUUUCUGUACGAAGUUUGAUGAAUCUUAAGACUUUUUUGCAUUUUAUUAUAGGGAUCUAGUUGUCUUCCGUACUCUAGACUGUUAAAGAACGCUCUCAAUGGGAAGAAGUAACAUGCAACAUGUCGUGAAAAAUGUGAAAUAAUAAAAGUUUAAUAAAUAUUUAA